rnacentral:rRNA from 1 species
AACAAGGAUUCCCCUAGUAACUGCGAGUGAAGAGGGAAGAGCUCAAAUUUUAAAUCUGGCGGUUUUCAAUCGUCCGAGUUGUAAUCUAGAGAAGCGUUUUCCGCGCUGGACCGUGUACAAGUCUCCUGGAAUGGAGCGUCAUAGAGGGUGAGAAUCCCGUCUCUGACACGGACUACCAGGGCUUUUGUGAUGCGCUCUCGACGAGUCGAGUUGUUUGGGAAUGCAGCUCAAAUUGGGUGGUAAAUUCCAUCUAAAGCUAAAUAUAGGCGAGAGACCGAUAGCGAACAAGUACCGUGAGGGAAAGAUGAAAAGAACUUUGGAAAGAGAGUUAAACAGUACGUGAAAUUGCUGAAAGGGAAACGCUUGAAGUCAGUCGCGUUGGUCGGGAGUCAGCCAUGCAUUUUUGUUUGGUGUAUUUCCUGAUUGACGGGUCAGCAUCAGUUUUGGCUGUUGGAUAAAGGUCGAGGUGAAUGUGGCACCCUUCGGGGUGUGUUAUAGCUCUCGAUCACAUACAACGGCUGGGACUGAGGAACUCGGCACGACUUUAUGUUUGUGCUUAGGAUGCUGGCAUAAUGGCUUUAAGCGACCCGUCUUGAAACACGGACCAAGGAGUCUAACAUGCCUGCGAGUGUUUGGGUGUUUAAAACCCGAGCGCGUAAUGAAAGUGAAAGUUGAGACCUCUGUCGUGGAGGGCAUCGACGCCCGGACCGGAGCUUUUGUGAUGGAUCUGCGGUAGAGCAUGUAGUUGGGACCCGAAAGAUGGUGAACUAUGCCUGAAUAGGGUGAAGCCAGAGGAAACUCUGGUGGAGGCUCGUAGCGAUUCUGACGUGCAAAUCGAUCGUCGAAUUUGGG